rnacentral:snRNA from 1 species
UUGCUUUGGCAGCACACAUACUGAAAUUAGAACAGCACAGAGAAGAUAAGCACAGUCCCUAUGCAAGGAUGACACAAAAAUUCAUAUUUUU